UUGCAUGCAUUUAUUAAUUUUUUGUUGGUUUGGGCUCAACUGCUGCAGUUGCAUCUAUACGAGAAGGCCCAACUGCAGCAGUUGAGCUGGAGUCGGCUUAUCGAUUAAAAAAAUAAAUAAAAUGUGAUUUUUUUUUUCAUACGCUUUUUUUUCUUUUCUUUUUUUUUUUUUUCCAAAAAUACAUAUUUAUGAAAUCUGAUAGAAUUUAGUAAUGUCUGUUAGGAUCAAUAAAUUUUUUUUUACAUAUGCUUCUUAUUUUUCACUCUGCUAGUUUAAAAAUACCUUAAUUUUUAUUUUGACCAAAUUUAUAAUAUAUUUACAUUUAAAAUUUAUUAAAUUCAUAUAUAAUUUUAUAAUAUAUAAAUUAUAUAUAGAUAUAAAAGUCUUAAUUAAUAAUUAAAACAUAAAGAAGAGGUAAUCUCACCAUUCUAUCUAAAAAUUGAUAGAAUUUAUAAAUACAAAUCUCAACUGCAGACUACCAAACAGAAGAAAUGUAACUGCAACAGUUGUAAUUGUAUAAAACCAAACAGAUUAGAUAUAGUUAUGCCUGCAGCAUUUAUAACUGUAUGUACUUCCAACUACACUAUUUUUAUAACUACAUUCAACCAAACGGCCUCCAAAUGAACGAACUCUUGGUCUUG
rnacentral:lncRNA from 1 species